UACGUAGGGUGCAAGCGUUGUCCGGAAUUAUUGGGCGUAAAGAGCUCGUAGGCGGUUUGUCGCGUCUGCCGUGAAAGCCCGGGGCUCAACUCCGGAUCUGCGGUGGGUACGGGCAGACUAGAGUGAUGUAGGGGAGACUGGAAUUCCUGGUGUAGCGGUGAAAUGCGCAGAUAUCAGGAGGAACACCGAUGGCGAAGGCAGGUCUCUGGGCAUUAACUGACGCUGAGGAGCGAAAGCAUGGGGAGCGAACAGG
rnacentral:rRNA from 1 species